rnacentral:rRNA from 1 species
CCAAUAGCGUAUAUUAAAGUUGUUGCAGUUAAAAAGCUCGUAGUUGAAUUUCGGGAUCAAUAUGUCGGUCGUGCCUCGGUACGUACUGGCAUCAUUGGUUUCUCCCUUCUGAAGAACCUCGAUGUCCUUUAUUUGGUGUCUUGGGAAAUCAGGACUGUUACUUUGAAAAAAUUAGAGUGUUUAAAGCAGGCUUGGGCUUGAAUACAUUAGCAUGGAAUAAUGAAAUAGGACGUUUGAUUCUAUUUUGUUGGUUUCUAGGAUCGACGUAAUGAUUAAUAGGGAUAGUUGGGGGCAUUAGUAUUCAAUUGUCAGAGGUGAAAUUCUUGGAUUUAUUGAAGACUAACUACUGCGAAAGCAUUUGCCAAGGAUGUUUUCAUUAAUCAAGAACGAAAGUUAGGGGAUCGAAGACGAUCAGAUACCGUCGUAGUCUUAACCAUAAACUAUGCCGACUAGGGAUCGGAUGAUGUUAAUUUUUUAAUGACUCAUUCGGCGCCUUACG